CUACAGCCUCGGGAGGAACGGUAAAUCCCCCGUUUCCCGCUCUGACCAUAACAUAAUCAACCACUAAUGAACCGGACCGCAUUUUCGGGAUCCGACGGCCGCCGCCGCCACCACCGUCGCCGUCGUCGUCCUCAACCCCUCCGCCGCCGCCCCUCCGCCGGGGACAGAUCAAGACGCAGAUUACGACUCGAGGAGACGAGGCCUCUCGCAGGAUUCUUCAGCACAUGUCAUGUGAGCAUUAUUUUACUCGAUUCCGUCAGAUUUCUGCCCCGGGGGAUCCCCAGUUUGGCAUAUGAUCCCUGCAAGUCACGGCCGAUCGAAGAGCUCGGAGGAGAAGAUGCAGAUUCCGGCGGGGGAUCUGAGGCCGGAUCUCCUCCAUUCACUCCCGAGUUACUGUCAUAAUCCCGCAUUUGAUCCGAUCUUCCUGUAGAGAUGCGAAUCGCGGAGUUUGAUAUCCUCUUUCCUUCCCAAAGAGGCGCGCCGGUGGUACAUUGAAUCCGGCCGGUUUACAGACCAGCGGCGGCGGAGGGCCAGGAUUGCCGGCGAGCACCUUAGUGGCUGCGUCGUCUUUAUUGGCAAGGUACUCUCUCCCGCUCUCUCUCUCUCUCNN
rnacentral:lncRNA from 1 species